ensembl:lincRNA
GAGUUAAGGACCACAUUUAGCAAUUGAGGCCAGAGAAGUUCUGCGUGAAUUCACGAAAACUGCCAUUUAAUGCUCGGUUUACUUUCUCUAUCUCUUACACCGGUUACCUCACUUCCGAUUAAAUUAAUGAUCCCGAAUUAGCUGCGAGAGGAGCGCGCGAGUCGUCAAGCCCAGUAGUUCAAUGCCCAAAGCAGAUUUUCCGACCUGCAGAAAGAAAGAAGGAGAGCCGGGAGGUCACCAGCUUUCACCGGCAGGAGAGGUGAGGAUGCCUGUGCACUCGGGGGUGGGGGGACCCUUAAAAGUUUCCCGAGUUGCACUCUAAAGCAAUCACCGCGGACCCGAGGUCUGGAUUCCCCAAAGCCAAAGCCACGCCGGUUUGAGGGUUAACUUCCAGCUGAGGAUCAGAGUAAGCCCGCUGAGACGCUUCUGAGAACGCCGGGGAGCGAGGGCGCGUGGGGAUUAGAAUUAGCCGUCUUCCCCUCCCCCUUGGGUAUAUUUCACUGGCUCGGAGCUGAAGGCUGACACCCAUUGGGGGAGUCCCCCAGUUUGCCUGAGUUGCACCCGGUGCUGUCACUCGGUCCCCUCCAACUAGGUGCAGGGACCUGGGAGGCGCGUGAGCACCGGUCACCGCUCAAAUUACCUCAUCUCCCCAGCUCCCCGCCCCUUUCUCAAACCUGGAAGGAGCGUCUCCUCGGGGGGAUCCAAAACAAGCCCCGUGGAGCAGCCGCCAGAGCGACAGCAGCCGCAAGACAUUGUUUCUCUCCCUCUGUCCCCCCUUCCCCACGCAACCCCAGAUCUAUUUACACUUUACAGAGCAUCGUGCACCGAGUCACCAGGGUGGUCCAUUCAAGCUGCAGAUACGUUUGUCCUCCUUACACAGCAAUCUCGUCCCCCACUGCCACCACAGGGAAGUACAUCGCAUGUCAGCGUCCUGGGGCAUAAGGAAAGAAAUUGUCUGGAAGACCCAAAAGUAGUGCUGCUGCGGACCACGGGCAAGACAGAGCGGGCUUCAGUCUGCAAGAAGAAUCUGGAAACACGCAUGGUUUUCGGCUAAUGAUCUGAGUCCUUCAGAGAAGCCGUGCGGUUUGAUGGAGCUGAGUCAAACCACACCCGUUCAGGAAAUGCCAUGGAUUUCUGACAGCAGGCACCAUGGGAACCAAGGCUGAUUGACUUGGUAGGUCCUCUUCCUUAGUGACUGUCUGAGGGCUUUGAAGGGAGGUCUUUCCUGGGCAGCAAAAGAAACGAGGAUUGAACUGCCCCAUUUGCAUACAGGGGACCACAGGGGAAGCCGUGUCCCGGGGCUGUUACUGCGCAGG